CUUACUUUUAUUGGAAUAUGGGUAUACAUUAUUCUAUCUGAUUGUGAUGUCAUUGCUUAAGAAGUAAUUUAUCUAGAGACAUCCAAGUUGUAUUCAUAAAUCACUUUACAGACAAAUAUUCUUUCUACAGGUGUACAUAACCUGAUAUAAAAAAAGUGUUUCUGGUGUGACAUGGAUAUUUUGAUAAAUUAGUACAUUACAACUUGUACAUGAAUUGAUGGUAGGGAUAAGGAAAAUGUGAACGUAACUUUCCUUUUAAAUUGCAUAUUUCCCCUUAGUAUUUCAGUUUGGCACGUAUGUGUGCCCAUCAAGUUAUUUUAAUGACAAUAGUAGCACCAAAAGCAUGCUAGGGUACCCCUAUUUAUAACUCAUAUUUAUCUUAAUAGCAAGAAUAGCAGAAUAUUUGUAUGAAAGGCAAUAUUUUCAAUGCCCAUUGUGUAGGAAUGAAUGAAUGUAAUGUGUCGUCAUAUGUUUGUAGAAUAGGGCUGCAAUACAUACAUGCAAUAAAACAUGCAAUGUGUCCGUGCAUGGAUGUAGUAUGACAAAGCAUGUAUUGAUGCAUGUAUGUAGUUUGAUACGCAUGAAGAGCAUUUCGCCACCUCUUGACCACAGUUAUCACAUAUUAUCCUCCCUAUCCUGCAGCCUAUUCAAAUAUAACAUUGCUUGUUAUGUAACAUCAUCCACCCCAUCUAUCAGUGUCAUAAAAUGUUCUCCAGCAUCAACCCAGCUCUUCUUCCCCUUUACCCCUUCCAUGCUCUGAAAUUAUUAAUUCAACAUCAAUUAAGCUUCUUUUAUCAAUCUUCCGUAAACAUUACCCCACUUCUCCAUCACCGACCACCUACUCCAUUACCUAUUCUCCUUCACACUCUGCCCAUUUUUUUUACUUCCAGUAGUCACUGUUUCUACACCUUUCACUAGCGCCCUAUGCCCACUUUCCCCAACAUCACAUCUUUUCCUUAUCUGUCAUACCACCUCCUUCUAUAUCAAGUUUCUCUCCCUCAUAAGCGUUAUUCUCCAACUUUAAGUUCAACAAUACCUGUAAACAUCUGUAAAUCUGUCUGCAUCAUUUUCCAGCAUCACUUUGUCUUAUUAUCUUCCUAUGUCAGCCACCAUGCGCCAACAUACCAGUCCUGAUCCAACAUGUUUCUUUUUUUGUUUAUCUUCAGCCAUAACUCUUCCUAUAUCAUAACUUCUCCCUCUUUUAAAUUCACACUCCUUGUCCUUCACCUACCUUCUCUCCCCCUAGCAAAUUUUCUUAAAGACAAGUGAGUGCGGCUUAGUAUUCACUCCACAUGUUUCCACAGGCAACCGACUAUUCUAUCCCAUAACCGAAUUUUCUAUCCCAUAGUCUAUGACCAGGCUAUGGGAUAGAAAAGAGUGAGUGCUUGUGUGCUUUGAAAGGCAUCUGUGAUGUAAAUCUAGCCAUGUUGGGAAGUUCCAGAUGCAAGUUUCUUUAGUCCAAGAUCUCUAGAAUAGGUGGUGGCAGCAGCUUUUUUUUUUCAAAUCUUGAAAGGAGGGUGUUGGGCAAAGGGAUUGUUCUGCACCCCUUUCCCAAGUAGUGUGGCAAGACAAGGAUGCGUUGAAUACCUGGCAAGAUAGAAUGAUCUUGUUUCCAUCUAUUUUUUAAUUGAUAUCCCAGCUUGCAUACUUCACAAAACUUGCAUAGACAGGUGGCGUUACAACUCCGAAUGGAGUUUGGGGUAGGGGCCAUCGAGUUUUGCUUUGGGCUGAAGUCCCAUGUGUGCCCCAUGUGUCAACACAUCUACAACACAUUGCAAAAGAUACUAUAUACGUAGCUUGUCUAGAACUCUUUUGGAUUGAAUGAGAGAUCCUUCACCCAAAUGCCAGUAGCAAUAAAGUAACAGGAAACAAAUGUUAGUGAUUAAGAUAAUUGACUGGAUAGAAGUACAAAAUAUAUAUGUUUAGUUAUUGAGAAAACAAAAGUGAUUUACUAACAUACUAACCCAUCUUCUCUUUACUGGGUUGAGAUACCCUGCUUUAGUUGUAUGCUCAUAGUACAGGACAAAUGUGGCAUUGCUGACUGUUGACAUAUAUAUAUCCUGAUGAACGUUUUCAAGUAAAUAUGAAAUGUUGAACAUUUAAUAAAAGUUAAGAUUUAUUUUUUAAACAGAAACCUAGAGUGCUAUUCUAAAGUGCUAUUUAUUUUUCUUUUAAGUGUCAGUGUUGUGCGGAUUAAGUAAGUCAAG